UUAACUCUGUUUUCUAGCUACACUAAUUUUUCAUGUCCCGGUGAUCGCUCUCCGAUCAUAUUCCUGUAAUCUACAGAUACUACAAAAGAACUUUCUGAACAUUAAUUCAAACAUGUUUCAUCUGCACGUUCAUAUGGGGUCGCAGUAUGCUAUCGCAGUUUAAUACUAUUCGGUAACAAUAAAUCAGAGGAGCCUGGCCCAAGUAUAACAAAUUACGGUACUGUUUUGUAUUUCAAGCUGGAUUGUGAUUGGCUCCAACUAGGCCUCAUUUCUCGAACCCCGUCAUGUACAGCAGUUGGAAGAGGGGUUAGCAAUCGAAUAAAAGAAGUGAUUUCGCGCGUUGACGGAUUCUGAAAUAUCUUGAUUAAUCAAACAUUCCCACAUUCCCAUCUCGACCAUCGCAACAAUUAGGCUGGGAAAGCCGUAGCUACAAAUAGUUGAAAAAUCUUUGACAUGUCCGUGAUGGGAAAGCCGAUACUUUACUCUUAUUGGAGGAGUUCCUGUUCCUGGAGAGUUAGAAUUGCGCUUAACCUAAAGGAGAUACCGUAUGAAAUAAAACCAGUAAGUCUUGUUAAGGGUGGUGGAGAACAACACUGCAAUGAAUUUCGUGAGGUUAAUCCUAUGGAACAGGUUCCUGCGCUGCAUAUUGACAAUCACACAUUGAUCGAGUCUUUGAAUAUUCUUCAGUACCUUGAAGAAACAAGGCCACAUCGGCCACUGAUGCCAGCAGAUCCGGUUAAAAGAGCCAGAGUCAGAGAAAUAUGUGAUGUCAUUGCUACUGGCAUUCAACCGCUUCAAAAUUUAGUGGUGUUAAUCUAUGUAGGUGAAGAACGUAAAAAGGAGUGGGCGCAACAUUGGAUCACUCGUGGUUUUACAGCUGUGGAAAAACUGCUUUCUUCGAGUGCAGGUAAAUAUUGUGUCGGUGAUGAUAUAACACUGGCAGAUUGCUGCCUGGUUCCUCAAAUAUUUAGCGCCAGGAGGUUUCAUGUCGACUUGAGGCCGUUUCCUACUAUCCUGAGGGUUGAUCGCCACUUGGAAAAUCAUCCAGCAUUCACUGCUGCUCAUCCCAAUAACCAGCCCGAUUGUCCACCAGAAGCAACUAAGUAGCAAGCGAGGCAGACCACUCUCUUCCUCUUCUAAAAUAACUGAAGAUUGAAGGGUGGUGGUCCAAUUAAUGGUAGCUUGACAGUGCAAACAUGAACGACUAUUCGCGGCACUGAUUGGUAGAUAAGAUGAUCCACACCCUUUUUUCAAUAAUGGUCUACUUCAAAUUGAAUCAUUGAAAACUUAUUGGUAUGAAUAUAAUUGGUUAAUGGUGUAUUUGUUCAUUAAUAUUACUUUUUUUGCAUACAUUCCAUGAGUAGAUCUCGCGUUUAUUAUAUAAUUCCCAUCCCAUUUUUAAUUUGUUUACACUUCACACUGAUGCUACUUGAAAAAAUUAAAGUUUGGGUUUUCAAUAUUCGUGAUUUUAUUAGUCAAAUUGCUGACAGUUGCUCAGUAACGAAGUCUUUUUAGUCAAGAAUGCAUAUUUCUGAAAAACUCCCAAAUACAAGUCGAUCUGCUUGUAAACCGAGUACUGAUUUUGCAAAGGAAAUCGGUUGACAAAAACCCUAACUUAUGUUCAGACCAAUUCACAGUUCAAAGUUAGAUCCACAUCUGGCACCUGUUGCUUUACUCUUCUCGGUCUGAAAUUUGAGAGAGUUCCAUCUGAAUUCCCGUUUGAAAAGUCUAAACCAACACAAACUAUUCGAAGGUCAAAUAGUAAUUUCGAGCGACAAAUGGCAAAUAUGAACCGAGCUCAAUUGUAAUUAUGGUUAUAUUGAAAAAGAGUUGAGUUAUAUUUUACCACUUGAAAGCUACGCUCAAGCACAGACAUGGUGAAUAGCGAAGAUAAUACAGUAAUUACAUACAAUAAAAAUAUAUUUGAAGAGAAAAGUUACGAGCAAAAUAUUCACAAUAUGAAAUCUUGCAUAUACAGACAUUUCGACAUCUACUUCAAACUAUGGCACCAUUUCUAUGCUUGUAUAGAGUAAUACAUGUUGGCCUAUUUUGUUCUUAGUUUCAUUUUAAUUGCCUAUUAUCUUGUUUUUUAAUCUAAAUUGGUAAUAUUGUCAAUGUAUAAUAUUUGCAUCAUAUUUUCUAAAAUUUAUUAACCUAUUAAAAAUAGGUUUUGUUGCUUAAAAUCAAAAGUUUACUUUUUAUACUUGUGAUAAUAUAAUUUUGCGUUUAUGUUUACCUUGUAUUAGUAAGACACAAUUUUUAAAAAGGCAAUCUGUAUCGAUAUAAUAUUACAGAUCAAUUCUGUUCGUUUAAAAUAAUGAAGUCAAAUUCAACCUUACAUUGAAUUAGGUGGUUACUUUAAACAAUAUAAGAGUUCAUUGGUAAUAAUGAUAGAUUAACCUACCGUGCUCAAUCCAUAUUCUGAUAUUUGAGGAAUGAAAAGUACAAAGCAUCUUUCUAGUAUUCUACAUGGGUACCUUUCAUUUCUCUACAUUUCGGCUUUCUUGCCAUAUGUACCAAUGACUUUGAGAUUUCAGGUACUAGAAAUUGUGAAAGUAACAAGUUUACGUUAUACGUAGCAUUUAAUGCAUUCCUCAACCUGAAAGGUAAAGAUUGUUAGUGUGCUUUACUUUUAAGUUUACUUCAAAAGCAUACAAUCACUCGUUGCUCGAAUGAGAGUUAUACUUUUUUUGUUUUAUACGUAUUUUUCCCUGUUCAUCACGCACAGAAAGUCAAGCCUAGGUUCGGUAUUUCCUAAUUUACCUUCUACACGAUUGAAAUCUAACACCUUGUACCGAAGAACGAUCUCUUGUACAUUCAAAGACCACGUAGAAAACGUUAAAGCAAGUUAUUAAUUUUUGAUAUAUUUCAUUAAGUACUACAAUUUUAGUUACGAAUUGUUAAAAAUUCAACGAGAACCUUGUUCUCACGUCACUCUAAACAUAACACUUCGAUUUUAUGGGGAAAAUUUUAUCUUUUAAUGCUGUUUAAACAAAAAACUUGACCGUUUAAUGAAAUAAAUCCCUGUUGUCCUUAGGCUUGAGUACAGGUGCAAAGGGCAUAGCCGGAUAAGCAUGUCGAAUCUGCUCCUACGGCGUUUUCUAUCGACACUGGGGUUCAUUUUGGUACCAAAUAAAAAUAAUUCACCCGAAAUUUUAGCUCCUAAUCUUAAACAGCUUUCGAUUUAUUGAAAAAACCGCUUUUAUCGUUUUUUUUUUUUCAAUAGUAUAAAAGGCAUAAUCGGUAAAUGGUGAUUUUUUUUCCAAAUACUUGGGAGCAAAUGACAUGAAAAAAUAUUUUAUUUAUGAUCCUCAAAUAUGAUGCCAUUUUUUGAAAACUAUUUGGAUUUAGUAAAACCUGAAAAAAGUUAAAAAAUGAACUUUUUUUAGAAAACUUCGUGUAUAAACGAACUAAUACUAGUUUAACAGUAAAAAAUAUAUAAAUAAUAAUUUUUUAACAAUAAAUGAAUAUUUUACUACGGAGAUACCAAUAAGGUUAAGAAAUAUGUGACGGAAAUCAAAUAGAAUUAAUCUUCGUCACUAUCCACAUGAAUGAAUACACAGUUUUCUGUAUGAUUAAAAACACGACGCAAAAAUUCUGCUUGUUCUACAGUGUUUUACAAAUAUCUAGCAUGUAAUAGAUAACGAACUAUCGCUGCUGUGUGAGAACAGCAACCAACCGUACGUCUGCCAUUUGCACAAUCACAGCAAUAUUUACAAAUCCCAUUUAUCUCAUUCUUGUGAGGAUGAUACUCGAUAAAGCAACUAUAUGUAUUUUGUAUUGAUUUGUUGAGAUUUGACUUGAACUUUAACAAUAUUUUCACUUGUUUUUACAUACUGGAGGCUUAUAUUAUGACUGUAAUCAUACAGGAAACUGUAUAGUAAUUAAUGAAUAUAGUGACGAGAAUUAAAUCUGAUUUCUUUCACAUAUUUCUUAAUCUUAUUGGUAUCUUCGUAGUAAAAUAUUCAUUUAUUGUUCACGAAAUGAUUAUUUGUAUGAGUUAUUACGAAUAAAAUAGUAUCAGUUUGUUUAAACACGAAGUUUUCUAAAAAAAAGUUUAGUUUUUAAUUUAUUUCAUAUGUUCCAGCAAAUAGACAAAAUUGAAAAAUUCCCGAGUAUAAAGAAGUAUAAAAGACGUUUGUUGUUACAAUUUGGCGAUUGCAUGUCUAAAAAAAACGCAGUUAAAAAAAUGAUUUUACUUAAAUAUUUUUUCAUCUCUUUUGCUCCUAAGUAUUUGGGAAAAAAAUCACCAUUUACUGACUUUUAAUUUUACACUAUUGAAAAAAAGAAAAAAAUCGAAUAAAGCGGUUUUUUUCAAUAACUCGAAAGCCGGUUAAGAUUAUGAGCUGAAAUUUCGGAUGAAUUAUUUUUAUUUGGCAUCAAAAUGAUCCCUAAAGUGUCGAUACAAAUCGGCAGGGUUGGGGGGGGGGGGGGGGGCAGGUUCGGCAUACUUAUCCAGCUGUGCCCUUUGCAAUGUGUGACUUUGACGCCAAAUAACUUCACUGACUUGAAGUUGAGCGAUUUUUACUUCUUUUGAAAUUGAAGGGAAACUGGUAAGAAAUCUCGUGGAUAUUAGUAGCAAAUCUGAAACUUCUAUUUUACUGAUUAAAAAUGUCUUAGAACCUGACCCUUUAUCAAAAAUAUCAUUACCAAAUAUCAAUUGAGCUGGAAUGAAUUCGCACCUGCGUGCAACUUAAUGGUCUAAAGAAAACCUGGUUUCAAUGGAAAAUAAUUUUGUUCUAAACAUGUGCAAAAUUUCACUUGAAUUGGUAUAAGUAAUCUUGCAUUAUUAUUUUUACCAUUUUUAAGAACACUGUUUUAAGAGAACUGACUUUAUUUAUAA
rnacentral:misc_RNA from 1 species